rnacentral:rRNA from 1 species
AUGAACGCUGGCGGCGUGCCUAAUACAUGCAAGUCGAGCGAACGGACGAGAAGCUUGCUUCUCUGAUGUUAGCGGCGGACGGGUGAGUAACACGUGGAUAACCUACCUAUAAGACUGGGAUAACUUCGGGAAACCGGAGCUAAUACCGGAUGAUAUUUUGAACCGCAUGGUUCAAAAGUGAAAGACGGUCUUGCUGUCACUUAUAGAUGGAUCCGCGCUGCAUUAGCUAGUUGGUAAGGUAACGGCUUACCAAGGCAACGAUGCAUAGCCGACCUGAGAGGGUGAUCGGCCACACUGGAACUGAGACACGGUCCAGACUCCUACGGGAGGCAGCAGUAGGGAAUCUUCCGCAAUGGGCGAAAGCCUGACGGAGCAACGCCGCGUGAGUGAUGAAGGUCUUCGGAUCGUAAAACUCUGUUAUUAGGGAAGAACAUAUGUGUAAGUAACUGUGCACAUCUUGACGGUACCAAAUCAGAAAGCCACGGCUAACUACGUG